AUAUUUUUUGCCCUGGGCUUUGAGAUACUGCUUCAACUUGAGCUUUUGGGGAACUAAUUAGUGUUUCAACAAUAUUUGCCUGCCCAAUUAGCUGGAGGCUCCUUGAUGGCAGAGACUGCCUCCUUGGUAUCCCCAGCACACAGCACAGAACCUGGCACAUAGUAAGUAUUUAGUAAAUGUUUCAUGAAGUAUUGAAUGAAUGAUUAAAAAGCAUUCAUUGAAUGACUUCUUUACUCAAACUUCUGCUUCAGUCCUUCUCUACAUAAUUUAGGCAAUAUUUUCUUACACCCGCUUAUUUCUGGCUGUGGAAUAUCAAAUGUCUUUCCAGUCAUGUGUGCUUUGGUUUCUCACUAGACUAAAAACUAAAGGCAGGGUCAGGGAUGUAUCUUCUGUAUCCCUCAGCAGAGAAGUGGUGUGAAGUCAAUAUCACCUAAAUGCUGGUUUUAAAAAAGUUUAUAUUUAGAAUGAUAGAACUCCCAGAAGGUGCCAAGACCAUAGAGUCCCAGCCCCUGGUUCUUCAAAAAGACCAGGAACAUCGAGAGGACAAAAAAUGUCCUAU
rnacentral:lncRNA from 1 species